rnacentral:rRNA from 1 species
AUGAACGCUAGCUACAGGCUUAACACAUGCAAGUCGAGGGGCAGCACAGUGUAGCAAUACACGGGUGGCGACCGGCGCACGGGUGCGUAACGCGUAUCCAACCUUCCCGUUACUCUUGGAUAGCCUUCCGAAAGGGAGAUUAAUACAAGAUGGUAUUCAAAUUCCGCAUGUUAUUUGAAUUAAAGAUUUAUCGGUAACGGAUGGGGAUGCGUGACAUUAGCUAGAUGGAGAGGUAACGGCUCCCCCAUGGCGACGAUGUCUAGGGGUUCUGAGAGGAAGGUCCCCCACACUGGAACUGAGACACGGUCCAGACUCCUACGGGAGGCAGCAGUGAGGAAUAUUGGACAAUGGAUGGAAAUCUGAUCCAGCCAUGCCGCGUGCAGGACUACAGUCCUAUGGAUUUUAAACUGCUUUUGUAUGGGAGCAAUAAGUGCUACGAGUAGCGCGAUGAGAGUACCAUACGAAUAAGCAUCGGCUAACUCCGUG